rnacentral:rRNA from 1 species
GUUGAACGCUGGCGGCAGGCUUAACACAUGCAAGUCGAGCGGAGCGAGGGUGCUUGCACCUUAGCUUAGCGGCGGACGGGUGAGUAAUGCCUAGGAAUCUGCCUAUUAGUGGGGGACAACAUUCCGAAAGGAAUGCUAAUACCGCAUACGCCCUACGGGGGAAAGCAGGGGAUCUUCGGACCUUGCGCUAAUAGAUGAGCCUAAGUCGGAUUAGCUAGUUGGUGGGGUAAAGGCCUACCAAGGCGACGAUCUGUAGCGGGUCUGAGAGGAUGAUCCGCCACACUGGGACUGAGACACGGCCCAGACUCCUACGGGAGGCAGCAGUGGGGAAUAUUGGACAAUGGGCGGAAGCCUGAUCCAGCCAUGCCGCGUGUGUGAAGAAGGCCUUUUGGUUGUAAAGCACUUUAAGCGAGGAGGAGGCUACUUAGAUUAAUACUCUGGGAUAGUGGACGUUACUCGCAGAAUAAGCACCGGCUAACUCUGUGCCAGCAGCCGCCGUAA